rnacentral:SRP_RNA from 1 species
GCCGGGCACGGUGGCACGUGCCUGUAGUCCUAGCUACUCGAGUGGCUGAGGUGGGAGGAUCGCUCGAGCCCAGGAGUUCUGGGCUGUAGUGUGCUAUGCCGAUCGGGUGUCCACACUAAGUUUGGCGUCAAUGUGGUGACCUCCCCGGAGCAGGGGACCACCAGGUUCCAACCACCAGCUCAGGUUGGAAACAGAGCAGGUCAAAACUCCCGUGCUGAUCAGUAGUGGGAUCACGCCUGUGAAUAGCCACUGCACUCCAGCCUGGGCAACAUAGUGAGACCCUGUCUCU